UGGAUUUAGAUUCAGUUUGCGUUUAGUAGAGUUUAGUUCGGAUUUAGUUACAUGUAUUGUAAAACUAUUUUCAAUUGUUCUAUAAUACUAGAGAUUUUUCUAGACUAUGCCCUGAUUUGUUCAUAUAUAUAUAUUUAUAUAAUUUUUUUAUUUUAGAGUUUAUAUUAUAUUUUUUAUACUUAGAUAAUAAAUUAUUAGACAGAAUUAUUCUUUUGUGUUGUUUUUGGUGACUACAAAUUGUAUAUUAUUCAAAUUCACAUCUUUCUUUUCAAAAUAUAAAAAAUACAUAUAAGCUAGUAAACAAAUUUAGAAAAAGUAAAUUGAAUCUUAGUUAAAGUUUUGUUAUUCUUUUCUCUUUUACUUGAGUUUUUAUGAAAAUAUGGUUAAAUUAGUGUAUAGUUCAAACUUUGUUUGAACGUUAAAAUCAAUCAAUAUGCAUUUUAAAAAUAAUUUAUAUGAAUUUGUUCUUAUGUGUGUAUGGCAAUGAGGAAAUGAAGAGCUAUUGAAAUCUAAAACUGAUGUACAUUAAAAGAAUCCUCAAAUCAUGUCAAAACUGUUGUUUCCAUGUAGCAAAACGAAUUCGAAAUUAAGAUUAAGAAAAUAUAAUAAUGUUCCAUUAGAUUCCAUGUUUUUCCCUCAUUUCAUGAGUUUGUUAGAUGCCAUAACAUGUUUAUAGGACUAACGAACUCAAACCUUUAAAAGAAACGCUUUUAAAACUUAUUCGUAUGGAAAUAUGAUACAAAUUUUCAAAAGAAAAAAAUUAAUAAAUAUAAGUUAAUAACUAAUCUAUAUAUACUAUAAUAAAAGGGAUAUAUGAGCUCCAUUGAGCCUAUCCACGUCAGACUAAAAAAUCAACCAAUGAAAAACUUGGUUUUUGCCAUGUCACACCUAGGGAUGUCAAUUGGACGGACUGGGUGGAUUUGGGCGUGUUCAGAUGGGCUUAUUUUUUUAUGGACAUUUUUGGUCGAGCCCAAAUAGCACCAUGUCCAAAUAGGACCAUGUUCAAAUAGGACCAUGACCAGAUGGACUGUCCAUGGAAUCCAGAUGUCCGUUUAAUGUAAAAUGUCUAAUUUUUAAACUUAAAAAUGUACAGAUUAGAAAUGUCAUAUAUAUAUAACAUCUUAAACUUACUUAAAUUUCAUGUUUUACAAAAGAUACUUAAAUUUAAAUUUCAUGUUUCACAAAAGAUAAUUAAAGUCUUAAACUUUCUUCUUCUCCUCCUCGCAAACCCAUCAACCUAAAAACAAUCAAAUCGCAAAGAGAAGAGAGUCGAGAUGAAGCGAUCUGAAGCGAAUCGAAGACAAAGUGAGAGACGGAGAGGAGAGUCGAGAUGGAGAGACACAAGCAAUCAAAUCGCAAAGAGAAGAGAGUCGCGAUGAAGCGAUCUGAAGCGAUUCGAAGACAAAGUGAGAGUUGGAGAGGAGAGUCGAGAUGGAGAGACACAGCUCGAGAGAUGAAAAGACGAGGCGGAGAGACACUUCUCGAGAGAUGGAGAGACGAGGCGGAGAGGCAAGUCAAGACUCGAGAGACAGAUUGUAAAUUUGUGAUUUCAGAUUUUUUUUCCCCAAAUAUUAACCCUAGAUAUUUUUAAAAUUAUGGGCGUAUUUGGGCGGCCCAUAUCCAUCUGGUUUUGUCCAUUGGACUUUGGGCGUAUCUGGACAUAGUCCAUUUGGACAAAAAAUAUUUCGGGCAGAUUUGGGCGUGACCAUAUUAGUCCAUAUCGAUUUGGACAUGGACCGCCCAUGGACAAUGUGCCCAAUUGACAUCCCUAGUCACACCGUUUUAGGCAGUGUUGGAUUGGUUUCGUUUUUGAUCCGCGAAAUGAAUUAUUUGGCCCAAAAGCCCAGUCCAAGAGAAACCUAGAACGUGAGGCUGGGUCGUGGGAAAGAAAGAAAAUGGAAACAAAAGCUUCCCUCCGGUGAAUACUGGGUGCUUUCCAGACGAGAUCCCUGAGCUAACGGAGCCAAAGGUGUCCAAGCCCAGCCUGUCGCCGUUCACCGUCAAGGAUAUAGCUCCCCCAAAGCUGCCCCGCGGCCACAAUCGUCAGUCUCCGAAGAUUAACCGACACCAAACCCUAACUACCGCCGCCGCUCGAGACCUUCGUCGUAACAGGAGUCUGAGCCUCAACGUACUUCACUCCAUUCACGGCGGUGAGGAGAGGGACUCGAACCAGCGAGAAACAAAUCGCAAGAGAACCGCCAUCCCUUUUGACAGAUCCACCGACACCAAGAAUUCUAGCAUCUAUCGGCGAUAAGCUUCCCUCCCUGAUGGCUUACAAGCGUUUAACGGCAGUCUCUCCGCCGUCCUCAAAGCCGAGAUCGAAACGAUGAACCACCAGAGAGAAGAAACUUUCCUCGGGUCUUUCACUCCACAGACCUUCCCAUUUCGACAAGAGGGAGAUGAAAUACUACCAAGACACACCGGAUCUGUACUGUACCGUUGUUAAGCGCAGGAUUCCGACGGGUAGGAGGCUACAUCAGCUCCGGCGAAGACGCUUUACGCCGCUGAGACUCCAAACCUUAGAAACGCGAAAGAGAAAGUUGAGAGAGUUUGUGAGUGGGCGCGUGUAAAUCAGUCGAUAUGCUUCUUCUUGACUCAAAGGUCUCUGGCGAUUUGUAAGUAAGGAUGGGAUUAAUAAUUUGAAUAUUAUGUUAUGUGCUUCGUUACAAUUUUAUGUCAUGUAUACAUUCAAUUGUCGUUGCGUUUGAAUUUUUGCAGUUCAAAAUAAAUUAUUUGCUCUUAUUCUUUCUAUGGAUUUUGAAGAUUGGACAUUAGAGUGUUCAGUGCACAAGCAGCUGAAACAUGGAGGAUUGUGACUUUGAAGAAGUUUAGGUUCGACAAUUUAGAGCCAGCGAGUGUUAAGUCCAUGGUUUUUGAAUAUACGAUGAACUCAAAAAUUGAAACAUGAGAUUAAGAAGAUCUCGGAUGAUUAGAAGAUGUGGGCUAGCUGUGAAAGUUAAGCCGAAGCGGUGGAAUAUCUGAAACCAUGAGGGGUAGAAAUCUCUCACCCGAGGUCUUGCGACGGAGAAAGCGAACUUUACUCCGGUAACCAUCAAGGAAAAAGGUUCUGCAUGUAUUCUUAAAGUAAUCAUUGAGUAACCAAAUGUAGAAAAGUUGCUCAAUAUACUCUUAAUAAAAAGCAUCGUACUUGCUAUGUGGUUAGAGAAGUAAUGAAGUGUAGACAGUUCAAAGGGAAGAUAGUUUAUGACUCUUCUGCAACUAUAUGUCUACGUAAGAAUUCAUCUUAAUGAAAAUAAUAUCUCUCAAUUGUUCAUUACA